GCGCGGUUAGUUUAAUGGCCAGAAUAUCGCUCCGUAAGACCGGCUUGAGAAUGGCACUCCCGGCAAGAGCGAAGACACGGGUUCAAUUCCCGGACCGUCGCC